rnacentral:rRNA from 1 species
UGAGUAAUGCGUGACCAACCUGCCCCAUGCUCCAGAAUAGCUCUUGGAAACGGGUGGUAAUGCUGGAUGCUCCAACUUGACGCAUGUCUUGUUGGGAAAGUGUUUAGUGGCAUGGGAUGGGGUCGCGUCCUAUCAGCUUGUAGGCGGGGUAAUGGCCCACCUAGGCUUCGACGGGUAGCCGGCCUGAGAGGGCGGACGGCCACAUUGGGACUGAGAUACGGCCCAGACUCCUACGGGAGGCAGCAGUC